CCGAGCUGCCAGUGCUGUGCUGGAAACAGUAGCAUCAUACAAUAUUUAUGUAGUUGAAUAAUUGAAGAACAUUUAUACUGAAACUGUAAUUCAUCAGGUUUGACAUCGCAGCACUGGCUAUUACAGUCUGUGUGUGUGUGUGUCUCUGUGUGUUUUCAGGAUCAUAGACAUUUUGUGUAAAUGAACAUAGACAUUUUGUGUUCAAUGAAAAAGAAAUGGGAAUCAUUAAAUGUUUUUCACAAAUCCUAAAUUAGGAUAUAAAAAUAUUGUCAUUUGACAUGUGCAUUCAAUUUGCUGUCACAAAUUCCACCAUAGCUGCAAACCAUCCCAUAUUAGAUCACCAUUGAAAUGUCAUUACGAAGACAGGAUUUCUACAUUUGAAGUAGCAGUUAGAAAAAUAGUUGUGAGUGACAGACCACGUGUGUUUCAAUGACAACAGCAAUGAAAAAUGGUGUUCCUUGUAUUUCCAUCUACAGUAUAUUAGCCCACAAUACAUGCCUUCAGCCCUGCUGAGUAGUGGUGUAAAGUACUUCAGUAAAAAUACCUUAAAGUCCUA